rnacentral:rRNA from 1 species
GAUGAACGCUAGCGAUAGGCCUAACACAUGCAAGUCGAGGGGCAGCACAUGAGUAGCAAUACGAUGGUGGCGACCGGCGCACGGGUGAGUAACACGUAUGCAACCUACCUCUAACAGGGGGAUAACCCGUUGAAAGACGGACUAAUACCCCAUAAUACAGGGGCUCCGCAUGGAGAUAUUUGUUAAAGAUUUUAUCGGUUAGAGAUGGGCAUGCGUUCCAUUAGCUAGUUGGUGAGGUAACGGCUCACCAAGGCGACGAUGGAUAGGGGAACUGAGAGGUUUAUCCCCCACACUGGAACUGAGACACGGUCCAGACUCCUACGGGAGGCAGCAGUGAGGAAUAUUGGUCAAUGGGGGAAACCCUGAUGCAGCCAUGCCGCGUGUGUGAAGAAGGCCUGGUUGUAAGACACUUCAGUAGGGAGGAAGGGUAGGAAGUGUCUAAUACGCAUCAACAUUAGACGUUACCUACCAGAAGAAGGACACCGGCUAACUCCGUCGCCACG